rnacentral:rRNA from 1 species
GAUGAACGCUGGCGGCGUGCCUAAUACAUGCAAGUCGAGCGAACGGACGAGAAGCUUGCUUCUCUGAUGUUAGCGGCGGACGGGUGAGUAACACGUGGAUAACCUACCUAUAAGACUGGGAUAACUUCGGGAAACCGGAGCUAAUACCGGAUAAUAUUUUGAACCGCAUGGUUCAAAGGUGAAAGACGGUCUUGCUGUCACUUAUAGAUGGAUCCGCGCUGCAUUAGCUAGUUGGUAAGGUAACGGCUUACCAAGGCAACGAUGCAUAGCCGACCUGAGAGGGUGAUCGGCCACACUGGAACUGAGACACGGUCCAGGCUCCUACGGGAGGCAGCAGUAGGGAAUCUUCCGCAAUGGGCGAAAGCCUGACGGAGCAACGCCGCGUGAGUGAUGAAGGUCUUCGGAUCGUAAAACUCUGUUAUUAGGGAAGAACAUAUGUGUAAGUAACUGUGCACAUCUUGACGGUACCUAAGCAGAAAGCCACGGCUAACUACGU